AUUGAACGCUGGCGGCAUGCCUUACACAUGCAAGUCGAACGGCAGCACGGGGCAACCUGGUGGCGAGUGGCGAACGGGUGAGUAAUGCAUCGGAACGUGCCAUUGAGUGGGGGAUAACGUAGCGAAAGUUGCGCUAAUACCGCAUAUUCUGUGAGCAGGAAAGCAGGGGGACCGCAAGGCCUUGCGCUCUUUGAGCGGCCGAUGUCAGAUUAGCUAGUUGGUGAGGUAACGGCUUACCAAGGCGACGAUCUGUAGCGGGUCUGAGAGGAUGAUCCGCCACACUGGAACUGAGACACGGUCCAGACUCCUACGGGAGGCAGCAGUGGGGAAUUUUGGACAAUGGGCGCAAGCCUGAUCCAGCCAUGCCGCGUGAGUGAAGAAGGCCUU
rnacentral:rRNA from 1 species